GUGCUCGCUUUGGCAGCACAUAUACUAGAACUGGAACGAUACAGAGAAGAUUGAAGAUUUGCAUGGCUCAUGCACAAGGAUGACUCACAAAUUUCUGAAGUGUUCCAUAUUUUU
rnacentral:snRNA from 1 species